CUACGGGGGGCACCAGUGAGGAAUUUUGCGCAAUGGGGGAAACCCUGACGCAGCAACGCCGCGUGAGCGAAGAAGGCCCUCGGGUCGUAAAUCUCUGUCAAGUGGGAAAAAAAUACUUUGAUCAAUAGUCAAAGGGCUUGAUGGUACCACUGGAGGAAGCACCGGCUAACUCCGUGCCAGCAGCCGCGGUAAUACGGAGGGUGCAAGCGUUGUUCGGAUUUACUUGGCGUAAAGAGCGUGUAGGCGGUUUAGCAAGUCAGAUGUGAAAGCCCUGGGCUCAACCCGGGAAGUGCAUUUGAAACUGCUUCACUAGCGUAUGGGAGAGGAGAUUGGAAUUCCUGGUGUAGAGGUGAAAUUCGUAGAUAUCAGGAGGAACACCCGUGGCGAAUGCGAUUCUCUGGACCAAUACUGACGCGGAGACGCGGAAGCGUUGGGAGCAAACAGGAUUAGAUACCCGGGUAGUC
rnacentral:rRNA from 1 species